UACGUAGGCAGCAAGCGUUGUUCGGAGUUACUGGGCGUAAAGGGUGUGUAGGCGGCUUCGUAAGUUCGGUGUGAAAUCUCCUGGCUCAACUGGGAGGGUGCGCCGGAAACUGGAAUGCUUGAGCGUGGGAGAGGAAAGCGGAAUUCCUGGUGUAGCGGUGAAAUGCGUAGAUAUCAGGAGGAACACCUGUGGUGUAGACGGCUUUCUGGACCAUAGCUGACGCUGAGACAUGAAAGCGUGGGUAGCAAACAGG
rnacentral:rRNA from 1 species